rnacentral:rRNA from 1 species
CCUACGGGUGGCAGCAGUGGGGAAUAUUGCACAAUGGGGGAAACCCUGAUGCAGCGACGCCGCGUGAGCGAUGAAGUAUUUCGGGAUGUAAAGCUCUAUCAGCAGGGAAGAAAAUGACGGGACCUGACUAAGAAGCCCCGGCUAACUACGUGACAGCAGCCGCGGUAAUACGGAGGGGGCAAGCGUUAUCCGGAGUUACUGGGUGUAAAGGGAGCGGAGGCGGUCUUGCAAGCCAGAUGUGAAAGCCUGGGGCUCAACCCCGGGACUGCAUUUGGAACUGUAAGGCUAGAGUGUGGGAGAGGCAGGCGGAAUUCCUAGUGUAGCGGUGAAAUGCGUAGAUAUUAGGAGGAACACCAGUGGCGAAGGCGGCCUGCUGGACGAUGACUGACGUUGAGGCUCGAAAGCGUGGGGAGCAAACAGGAUUAGAUACCCUUGUAGUC